CAAUACGAGCGGCAGACGGGUGAGUAACGCGUGGGAAUCUACCCAUCUCUACGGAACAACUCCGGGAAACUGGAGCUAAUACCGUAUACGUCCUUUUGGAGAAAGAUUUAUCGGAGAUGGAUGAGCCCGCGUUGGAUUAGCUAGUUGGUGGGGUAAUGGCCUACCAAGGCGACGAUCCAUAGCUGGUCUGAGAGGAUGAUCAGCCACACUGGGACUGAGACACGGCCCAGACUCCUACGGAGGCAGCAGGA
rnacentral:rRNA from 1 species